rnacentral:rRNA from 1 species
UACGUAGGGUGCAAGCGUUAAUCGGAAUUACUGGGCGUAAAGCGUGCGCAGGCGGUUUUGUAAGUCUGUCGUGAAAUCCCCGGGCUCAACCUGGGAAUUGCGAUGGAGACUGCAAGGCUAGAAUCUGGCAGAGGGGGGUAGAAUUCCGCGUGUAGCAGUGAAAUGCGUAGAGAUGUGGAGGAACACCGAUGGCGAAGGCAGUGUCCUGGGGAGUACCUGACGCUCAGGUGCGAAAGCCAGGGGAGCGAACGGG